CUCAUUAAUCUUCUUUUCAUUUUCAUUUCUUAGGUUUUUUAGUUCUUAAAUCUUAAAACCACAAAGAGAAAGAGUUAUUUAUAAACAAGGAAACAAAAAAGUAUAAACAGGGACACGUAAGAAACCAAAGAAACGCUUUAUUUCAACACUAAAAACUACAAACUCAACGAAUUAUAACUAUAACUAUCAUUAACCAAUCAUAAAUAGAUUGUUUAGCAAGUUAUGCAAGAUUAAAGCGAAUAAUGGUAUCAAUACCGUCUUCUCCGUCUCAUCCUCUUCUGCCGACGCAACCACCGUCAUCUUUGAUCUGAAUUAAGUAGCCUAUUAUUACCACCAAUGAUACUAAGUUACUAACUACCAUCAGGUGAGACACAUCGUCUAACUUGUCGACCAUUUCAGUCAGAACCGUGCCUAGUGAAGGUAAUUUGAAACAUUCGCUUAUGUUAAAUCAAAUUUUAUAAAUAUUUAUAGGGCAUCUAUCUAUCUCUAUCUCUAUAAUAAUAAAUGAGAGUCGCCUCUCUCCACAACCCUUAUGCAUAGGACAUUUUAUGACAGCUGGCAGCUACUCAUUCUUCAAUUCUCCUUUUAUCAUUACACGGACUAAUUAUAAAAUGUCAACGAUGGGUUCUGUUUGUCCUGACUAAAUUGGCCCAUACAAGUAUGACUUCAGUUAGACCUAGAGCUUUAGUCGACGGUAUAAACAAAUCUGAACCUUAACGAUCCCGUUUCCUUUUUCCGGCGAUGAAACGAUCAGCCGUUAUUACAUUCAAUCCUUCCAGCCCGCUAAUCCCACUGCCAGUAUAUAUGCUAGACCUUUAGAUUUGCCUUUUCAAUCUCUCUUCUUCUUCCGAUUCAUCUUUGCUUUCUCUUCUUUUAUUCAUGGCUGCUCUCAGGGGUUAUUGGAUGAUAGAGAAAAAUACAUGUUCAUAUCAGUUGAAGAGAUGAAUCUGGUUGCAGAUUACAUCAAACAUCAAGGAAGACUUAGUAUCUCGCAUCUAUCCAACAGCUGCCUGUAGACCAUGACAUCAGCUUUUUUCUAUUGCUACCAGUUGUAAAUACAGAGGACCUACAUAUCUUACGAAUGGUUGCUGGAUCUAUUGCUAUUGUGUCUGGACUUAUAGAGGAUGAUAGCUUGGGCUCACUUACACAUUCAUAACUACGAUCCUAUUUUUUUCAUCGGGUCCGGGUAGAGACCAAAGGUCUUGAGCGACCGAUCCGGAAUUACAGAGCAAUACUGCAGAGGUUUUUCUUCAAAACAGACUGAGAGUGAUCGGGGAACUAUGGAGACUCCUCCGGCUGAGCUGUAAAUUAGUGUUGCAGAUACAGUAGGAAUAACACAGAUGAUUCAGCUGAGUUCAGAAUUUUAUUUAGAAAGAAGCGUUAAUAAAGCCCACAGUCAGAUUCUUUCCAGCCCAGAAUUAGUUUCUCACGCUGAAAGACAACUUAAGGAAACCAUUCAUGAAGUUCUCCACAAAUUGUAAGAAACGAGGAAAUGAUGGAAGUUUUCGCAUUCUAAGCAAUAGGCAUAUGUGUCCUGGAAGCAUUAAAAGGAGAGAUAAAGCUUAAACUCUAAUGGAACUACGGCAGACACGGAACAGAGUUGCUCUGUAACAACCUUCAUGGGGAUAUCUACGAACGAGUGAUAAACGGGACAUGAGGCGCCUUUCACUGUCAGAUUCACACCUGGAUACUAAAAGCUGUCUGUGUUAUUCUUAUGUUGAAAAAAUAAUCGAAUUUUUUUACCCAUUUUCCAUAACCCUAUUGUAUGAUUCCACUUUUUUAGUUUUGACAUACAAGUAAUUUUUGAAUGAUAGAACAAGGGUGAGUCA